UACAGAGGUCCCAAGCGUUGUUCGGAUUCACUGGGCGUAAAGGGUGCGCAGGUGGCUUGGUAAGUUUGAUGUGAAAGCUCAGGGCUCAACCCUGAAAUGGCAUUGAAUACUAUCGGGCUUGAGGUUUGGAGGGGGGACUGGAAUUCUCGGUGUAGCAGUGAAAUGCGUAGAUAUCGUUUGGAACGCCAAUGGUGAAAACAGGUUGCUGGGAGUGCGCUGACGCUGAGACACGAAAGCCAGGGGAGCGAACGGG
rnacentral:rRNA from 1 species